rnacentral:sRNA from 1 species
AAGGAUGAGAAGCUUCGACUAAGGUUCGAUUCGAGCGAAAGCGAGAAAGCGUUGCCGCAGGCAACGACCCGAAGGGCGAAGCGCGCAGCGCUGAGUCAACCUUCCCCCACCACCA